UACGAAGGGGGCUAGCGUUGUUCGGAAUCACUGGGCGUAAAGGGCGCGUAGGCGGCUUUAUAAGUCGGGGGUGAAAGCCUGUGGCUCAACCACAGAAUUGCCUUCGAUACUGUAGAGCUUGAGACCGGAAGAGGUAAGUGGAACUGCGAGUGUAGAGGUGAAAUUCGUAGAUAUUAGGAAGAACACCAGUGGCGAAGGCGGCUCACUGGCCCGGUACUGACGCUCAUGUGCGAAAGCGUGGGGAGCAAACAGG
rnacentral:rRNA from 1 species